rnacentral:misc_RNA from 1 species
GUCCAAGAUAUCUCAUAUCCCAUAUAUACGUAUACAAGGGUAAUUACCAUUUUUUUUCCCGGCUCUUUGGAUGCGCACAUUGAACUAGCUUUAUUAGUGAAUUCUCAGAUGGAAACAAGGUUCAAAGUCACUCUAUUUUUGGCCUGGAAUUAAGUUACAUGUUGGAGUCUCAGAAAUAAGCUCUUUGCCAAAGAAAGGAAGAAAAAAGCUGGAAAAUUUUCCUCCACAUAAUAUUUCAUGAGGUCAUUUAUGUAGCUGCUGGAGGCCUUCGUCGUGAUUCCAUGAUACAAAAUCCUUGAUGAGGUCAUUUAUGUAGCUGUCUGCAGUUCCACUCGCUCCAAUUCCAUGUAAUGGGACAUUUUAAGCUGCUACCUCGAAUGCAAGAUUAAGAUUACUAAUGGGGAUAUGUUGCU